AGAAAUAUUAAAAUAAUCACAAAUAUAUCUUAAAUAAAUCUCAAUUAAUUCCUAAUUUAAUCCUAAUUAAAAUCUAUCAAGGCUUUAAUCAAAUUAUAAGCCAAAUUCUAAAUCCUAAGUAAACUUUAAAUCUUAAACCAAAUCCUAAAUAAAUCCUAAACCUUAAAAUAAACCUUAAAAAAACCCUAAAUCUUAAAUCAAACCUUAAACAAAUCCUAAAUCUUAAACAAAAUCCUAAACAAAUCCUAAAUCCUAAACCAAAUCUUAAGGCAAAUUAGAAUCCUAAUAUUUAUUGAUUAAACCAUUGAUCUUACUUGAAAAUUUAUACACCUUUCAAAUUCUUAAUUAAAAAAUAGUAUAAAAAAUUUGAAGAUAAUUACACCUAUUAAAUAAAAGAAAAAUCCUAAAAUCUGCUUGAAUAUUGCCUGGCCUCCUACUUCAAUUUAAAUGUUGAACUUCUAAUGCCAAUAUCUCUCUUUUUAACCAUUU
rnacentral:lncRNA from 1 species